rnacentral:lncRNA from 1 species
AGCAGUUUCUGCUCACAAUUUUUUUUUUUUUUAAAUGUCUGGGCUGCCUCACGGUAGAACAUGAGCAGGUAAUGCACAAGGAGCACCACUGGGAAUCAUGUCAGACGAGUCAAUCUCAGGGAGUGAUCCGGACCUGGACCCGGACUUGGAGCAGGAGGAUAUGGAAGAGGAGGAGGAGGAAGAUGAGGAGGAGGCGAUGGAGGAGGACAACGAUGGGGAUGACGAGGAAGACUUACUUGAUGAGAAUGACCAACCCCAGGAAGCUGUGUUCAGCAGUGACCAUGUUGAACACACCGAGGAUGGAGAAUGGCAGCGCUCUACUUCAACUACCUCAUCUCAGAGUGAGCGGGCAGAGCGACUCUUGCAGAACCAGCACAAGAGCCUGGCCUCUGAGGACACCAAAAAGAAGAGGGCUCAGAAACCUUCUCACAUGCGGAGGAACAUAAGGUAAGCAACAGCAGGACGGAAAGAGUUAGGGUCCUAUACAGCCUUUUGGGGUAAAAAUGGAGUCUGUGGACUUUUUCUGAGCCAUGUUUUGCCACUGUUGGCAAACCAGAUGGCUUUUCUUUCCAAAACCUUAGGAUUUCACCAGUGGGAGUAAUAUGUUCUCAGUCUGGAGUGCUGCAUGUGGGUGCAAACUUGUUUGGUAUUUCAGAAGAGUACAAUAUACAGUUACAG